AUUGGCUGACGAGUCCCAAAAUAGGACGAAAUGCGCAUCCUAGAU
rnacentral:hammerhead_ribozyme from 1 species